rnacentral:misc_RNA from 1 species
UGUGGGAGCUGGCUUGCCAGCGAUUGGGUGGCACAUUCAACAUCCCUUUUGCUGAAAGACCGCCAUCGCUGGCAAGCCAGCUCCCACA